rnacentral:rRNA from 1 species
CGGCGGCCACAGCGGCAGGGAAACGCCCGGUCCCAUUCCGAACCCGGAAGCUAAGCCUGCCAGCGCCGAUGAUACUGCC